rnacentral:rRNA from 1 species
UACGUAUGGGGCAAGCGUUAUCCGGAUUUACUGGGUGUAAGGGGAGCGUAGGCGGCCUGGCAAGCCUGAUGUGAAAUACCGGGGCCCAACCCCGGGGCUGCAUUGGGAACUGCCAGGCUGGAGUGCCGGAGAGGCAGGCGGAAUUCCUAGUGUAGCGGUGAAAUGCGUAGAUAUUAGGAGGAACACCAGUGGCGAAGGCGGCCUGCUGGACGGUGACUGACGCUGAGGCUCGAAAGCGUGGGGAGCAAACAGG